AGACGCGUAAAUAAUUAUGGAAACAAAACUGAAGCAAAUACGCCUGAACAGACGGUAACAAAGGGGACAAAAAUCAGUCUUUUAAAACUUCAGCAUUUCUGUCGACAUCCACAAUAUAUAAUAGCUCGUCUUCUUCGUAUUUUCUAAUUCUUUAUUUCACUGUGAUAAUAUCAUUAUCUACUGCGUAUAGGGUAUGAUCAGCAGUUGAUGCUCACAAAAAUGAAAAAGAGACAGCCUUUCAUAAAGACCUGUUGCAUUCUCUGGUUAUAACAGAUGACGCUUCCACAAUUGAUGGUGAAGUUGGGAAGAAAUUGAACCUCAUGGUUCCUGUUCCUGUUCCUCAGGUUGGUGUUCUUCUCUUUCGCUGUUGUAGGAUUGCUGUAGUAGGCAAAACCAGAUGAGUGUUGCGAUUCUGGCUUUCUUCCGUGGUUUGAGCGUCAUUGAGCGUGUUUAAUGGUUGAUAGAUUAAUGUUGACUGAAGUUUUCAAGUUUUCUUUUACAAUAUCCUUGCAUUGAUUUGUAUAUCAAAUAUGCUGAUCUAUAUACGAUCCAUCCAUUAUCCGCAGUAUGCAUUAUGUACAAACCAAGGAGCUGCUCCUUGGAUGUAUGUAAACAAAGCUGGCUAACCACGCUCCAGAUUAGAUUCAUAGCCACAUCGCCCGUAUGCCUCACCUAAGCCACUUCUUAAAUGUGGGUGCUGCUCAAUAGCGUUCUUAAAAGCAUACCCAUGAAUUUCUUUGAUCAAACUCAGUGCCGCUAUGUUCUCACAAGCCAACAGCAAAGCAAGAAGCGUUAUCAAAUUAGGUCUCAAACCCCACUUUUCCAAUUCUCCUGUAGAUGAGAAAACUUUGCAAAUAGUUCAAGAAAAAGUUAACAAAUGAGGUGGUAGAAAGUGAAAACUUCAACAUCUCUGCAAAAUGAAGAAUGAUGGAAAGAGCUGGAAUCAUUUGAAUGUAAAGAAGAUGUUAAAUUUAAUGAUUUUUUCUGUUGAGUUUAAAUUCAAAAAAAGGAAAUCCACCGUAAAGUUGUUUUACGGAAGGACACGUAAAAUUCUAUGGGAUGUGUAUGCAUGAUUUUCGGUCGAUUUGAUUUGAUCGGUUGGUUGAUGUAAUCUGUUUAAAUUUGUAUUUUUAUAUAUAUAUGCUGAAAUAAAAAGAAG
rnacentral:lncRNA from 1 species